GGAGGAUUGGCCGAGGGGUUGAAGGCGGCAGUCUUGAAAACUGUUAUGCCGAAAGGCAUCGUGGGUUCAAAUCCUACAUCCUCCGCCA
rnacentral:tRNA from 1 species